rnacentral:rRNA from 1 species
GAUGAACGCUGGCGGCGUGCCUAAUACAUGCAAGUCGAGCGAACGGACGAGAAGCUUGCUUCUCUGAUGUUAGCGGCGGACGGGUGAGUAACACGUGGAUAACCUACCUAUAAGACUGGGAUAACUUCGGGAAACCGGAGCUAAUACCGGAUAAUAUUUUGAACCGCAUGGUUCAAAAGUGAAAGACGGUCUUGCUGUCACUUAUAGAUGGAUCCGCGCUGCAUUAGCUAGUUGGUAAGGUAACGGCUUACCAAGGCAACGAUGCAUAGCCGACCUGAGAGGGUGAACGGCCACACGGGGACUGAGACACGGUCCAGACUCCUACGGGAAGCAGCAGGAGGGAAUCUUCCGCGAUGGGCGAAAGCCUGACGGAGCAACGCGGCGUGAGUGAUGAAGGUCUUCGGAUCGGAAAACUCUGUUAUUAGGGAAGAACAUAUGUGUAAGUAACUGUGCACAUCUUGACGGUACCUAAUCAGAAAGCCACGGCUAACUACGUG